rnacentral:miRNA from 17 species
CCUAUUCUCGAUGACUUGUCUC